ACUGUAGCUUGUCAUACAAUUUACCACCUUGUCUGAAUCGAUCCUUGACCGACUCGUCCGUCUACAUAUCCAAUUGCUAACAGUUGCUAUGGCCAAUGUAGUAAGUGGAAAGUGGCAGUUAUGAUUGAACAAUAUGAUUUUAUGAACAUAACCUCAAAGAGAGCCCAUAUAAGAAGAUACGCAGGCGAAUGGAAACACAUUGGGAAGGAAAUCUAAGCAAAGAGAUAUAUUCAAUCCACUAGUACAAAAAAAAAGUGAUUUUAACAUAAAAACGUAUUUAUAUUUAGUAUUUUGAUCUUCGACAAGGUUUAUUUGCGACAUUUUACAUUGCCAUAGAAACGACUGACGCCAAUGCGUCACUGGCAGGAACCAGCAGAUUGUCUGAAUGAGAUUUUGCGCGGAGAGUGAAUCGAAGAGAGGUAACGUCAACCGGUCAUGACUGUUGUUGACUAGGCUAGCGUUAGACACUGGACAACUUUGUUACAACUCUAGAUUAAGGAUGACAUCUUCAUCUCUGAAAAUGUUUUCAUCCUGGAGGAGAAUGUGCAGGAAGCAGAGGAAAGAAUGGUUUGUACAGCAUGCCAAACGGACCCCUAGGAGCCAGUGUUGCUGUGCUGCGGUAGAGAAGAGGUUCAUCGGGACCAUCACUAAAGAGCUCGGGGCCCCGCCCAUAUCCGCCAUAGAUGGAGCUGACGGAGAGUGAGAUCACUCGCUGAAUGAACCUGACAGCUCAGAAUUACAAUCAUCUCAGUGCGAGACAAGAUAUACUAUCUAUCACUUUGGGGGUGCGGGAUAGUGUUCCCGAAAAAUGGAGAAGGAGCAGGCCAUUCAACAGCGAAUUAAAAGAUACACCCAUCCUUAAAGGGAAUCAGAGUGGAAUUGUUUUUCCACAGAUUUAAAAAAAAAAACUGUUUUAAUGGAUGUGUUACCUUGUCCUACUGUUAUAAUGGAUGUGUUACCUUGUCCUACUGUU